AUUGAACGCUGGCGGCAUGCUUUACACAUGCAAGUCGAACGGUAACAGGCCUUCGGGUGCUGACGAGUGGCGAAGGGGUGAGUAAUGCAUCGGAACGUGCCCAGAGGUGGGGGAUAACGCAGCGAAAGCUGUGCUAAUACCGCAUGUGAUCUGAGGAUGAAAGCGGGGGACCAGGCAGCAAUGUUUGGCCUCGCGCCUUUGGAGCGGCCGAUGUCAGAUUAGGUAGUUGGUGGGGUAAAGGCCUACCAAGCCGACGAUCUGUAGCUGGUCUGAGAGGACGACCAGCCACACUGGGACUGAGACACGGCCCAGACUCCUACGGGAGGCAGCAGUGGGGAAUUUUGGACAAUGGGCGCAAGCCUGAUCCAGCAAUGCCGCGUGCGGGAAGAAGGCCUUCGGGUUGUAAACCGCUUUUGUACGGAACGAAAAGGCUCUGGCUAAUACCUGGGGCUGAUGACGGUACCGUAAGAAUAAGCACCGGCUAACUACGUG
rnacentral:rRNA from 1 species